rnacentral:rRNA from 1 species
GACGAACGCUGGCGGCGUGCUUAACACAUGCAAGUCGAACGGAAAGGCCCUGCUUUUGUGGGGUGCUCGAGUGGCGAACGGGUGAGUAACACGUGAGUAACCUGCCCUUGACUUUGGGAUAACUUCAGGAAACUGGGGCUAAUACCGGAUAGGAGCUCCUGCUGCAUGGUGGGGGUUGGAAAGUUUCGGCGGUUGGGGAUGGACUCGCGGCUUAUCAGCUUGUUGGUGGGGUAGUGGCUUACCAAGGCUUUGACGGGUAGCCGGCCUGAGAGGGUGACCGGCCACAUUGGGACUGAGAUACGGCCCAGACUCCUACGGGAGGCAGCAGUGGGGAAUCUUGCACAAUGGGCGGAAGCCUGAUGCAGCAACGCCGCGUGCGGGAUGACGGCCUUCGGGUUGUAAACCGCUUUCGCCUGUGACGAAGCGUGAGUGACGGUAAUGGGUAAAGAAGCACCGGCUAACUACGCG